UUGAACGCUGGCGGCAUGCUUUACACAUGCAAGUCGAACGGUAACAGGCCGCAAGGUGCUGACGAGUGGCGAACGGGUGAGUAAUGCAUCGGAACGUGCCCAGUCGUGGGGGAUAACUACUCGAAAGAGUAGCUAAUACCGCAUACGAUCUAUGGAUGAAAGCGGGGGACCGUAAGGCCUUGCGCGAUUUGAGUGGCCGAUGUCAGAUUAGGUAGUUGGUGGGGUAAAGGCUCACCAAGCCAACGAUCUGUAGCUGGUCUGAGAGGACGACCAGCCACACUGGGACUGAGACACGGCCCAGACUCCUACGGGAGGCAGCAGUGGGGAAUUUUGGACAAUGGGCGCAAGCCUGAUCCAGCAAUGCCGCGUGCAGGAAGAAGGCCUUCGGGUUGUAAACUGCUUUUGUACGGAGCGAAACGGCUCUGGUUAAUACCCGGGGCUAAUGACGGUACCGUAAGAAUAAGCACCGGCUAACUACGUG
rnacentral:rRNA from 1 species